rnacentral:rRNA from 1 species
GUGUCAGCCGCCGCGGUAAUACGAAGGGGGCUAGCGUUGUUCGGAAUUACUGGGCGUAAAGGGCGCGUAGGCGGCUUCGAUAGUCGGGUGUGAAAUGCCUGGGCUCAACCCAGGAACUGCACUCGAAACUCCGAGGCUAGAGUGUGGGAGAGGAUAGUGGAAUUCCCAGUGUAGAGGUGAAAUUCGUAGAUAUUGGGAAGAACACCGGUGGCGAAGGCGGCUAUCUGGACCACAACUGACGCUGAGGCGCGAAAGCGUGGGGAGCAAACAGGAUUAGAUACCCUGGUAGUCC